GCGUCGUCUUCAGAGUUUGAUCCUGGCUCAGGAUGAACGCUAGCUACAGGCUUAACACAUGCAAGUCGAGGGGCAGCAUGAAUAUUGGCUUGCCAAUAUUUGAUGGCGACCGGCGCACGGGCGAGUAACACGUAUCCAACCUUCCGGUUACUCGGGGAUAGGCUUUCGAAAGAAAGAUUAAUACCCGAUGUUGCGUAUCUUUCUCCUGAAAGAUACGCCAAAGGAUUCCGCUAAGAGAUAGGCAUGCGUUCCAUUAGUUAGUUGGUGAGGUAACGGCUCACCAAGGCAUCGAUGGAUAGGGGAGCUGAGAGGCUUAUCCCCCACAUUGGGACUGAGACACGGCCCAA
rnacentral:rRNA from 1 species